rnacentral:rRNA from 1 species
GAUGAACGCUGGCGGCGUGCCUAAUACAUGCAAGUCGAGCGAAUGGAUUAAGAGCUUGCUCUUAUGAAGUUAGCGGCGGACGGGUGAGUAACACGUGGGUAACCUGCCCAUAAGACUGGGAUAACUCCGGGAAACCGGGGCUAAUACCGGAUAACAUUUUGAACCGCAUGGUUCGAAAUUGAAAGGCGGCUACGGCUGUUACUUAUGGAUGGCCCCGCGUCGCAUUAGCUAGUUGGUGAGGUAACGGAUCACCAAGGCAACGAUGCGUAGCCGACCUGGGAGGGUGAUCGGCCACACUGGGACUGAGACACGGCCCAGACUCCUACGGGAGGCAGCAGUAGGGAAUCUUCCGCAAUGGACGAAAGUCUGACGGAGCAACGCCGCGUGAGUGAUGAAGGCUUUCGGGUCGUAAAACUCUGUUGUUAGGGAAGAACAAGUGCUAGUUGAAUAAGCUGGCACCUUGACGGUACCUAACCAGAAAGCCACGACUAACUACGUGCCAGCCGCCGCGGUAA